GACGAACCGAGCGAACGUUGUUCGGAAUCACUGGGCUUAAAGGGCGCGUAGGCGGGUGCUCAAGUCCGGGGUGAAAUCCUCCAGCUCAACUGGAGAACUGCCUCGGAUACUGGGUGCCUCGAGGGUGGUAGGGGUAUGCGGAACUAUCGGUGGAGCGGUGAAAUGCGUUGAUAUCGAUAGGAACUCCGGUGGCGAAGGCGGCAUACUGGACCACUUUCUGACGCUGAGGCGCGAAAGCCAGGGGGAGCAAAACGGGG
rnacentral:rRNA from 1 species